AUACGGAGGGUGCGAGCGUUAUUCGGAAUUAUUGGGUUUAAAGGGUGCGUAGGCUGUUUUUCAAGUCAGCGGUGAAAUUUCCGGGCUCAACCCGGAGUGUGCCGUUGAUACUGUUAAGCUAGAAUAUGGUUGCUGUGAGUGGAAUGUGUAGUGUAGCGGUGAAAUGCUUAGAUAUUACACAGAACGUCUAUUGCGAAGGCAUCUCACAAAGUCAUUAUUGACGCUGAUUCACGAAAGUGUGGGGAUCAAACAGGAUUAGAUACCCUGGUAGUCCACACUGUAAACUAUGAUAACUAGCUGUCGGCGAUACACUGUCGGUGGCCCAGCGAAAGCGAUAAGUUAUCCACCUGGGGAGUACGACCGCAAGGUUGAA
rnacentral:rRNA from 1 species